UUUUUUUUUACUUUCAACUUCAGAAACAGAACCGCAUAUAUAUAUAUAUACAGAAAAAAUGUAACUCCUUCAUUAGAUUAACAAAUUGGCUGCCUUUCUAAAAGUCUCAGAUAUAUUUGAUCGUUGAACACAUUUUAACAAAAGAUUUAGCUAGAAGUACAGGAUAAGAGACUUUUGCAAACCCUGUAAAGAUUUGACUUAUGCUAUGCCGAGUUUAUGCUAUCGUAAAACAAAUAACCUGUCUCAUAUCAAGUAUGGCCGCCAUCUCAAGGCAAAAUUGACCAUUGAAUAAUGAAAAUGAGAAUCAACAUAAACAGCAUCAAUGUUAAGACCACAUAAUUUAAUCAGGAGUAUCACUGAUAUUGAUAUGUUGACCAUUUUUCAAACAUAUGGUUGUUUUUAUGGUUUUUGGAAUCAAAGAUGACUGGUUAUAGUUUUUGG
rnacentral:lncRNA from 1 species